UACCAGCACCCCGAGUGGUCGGGACGAUUAUUGGGCCUAAAGCAUCCGUAGCCGGUUCUGCAAGUCCUCCGUUAAAUCCACCUGCUCAACAGAUGGGCUGCGGGGGGAUACUAUAGGGCUAGGAGGCGGGAGAGGCAAACGGUACUCAGUGGGUAGGGGUAAAAUCCAUUGAUCUACUGAAGACCACCAGUGGCGAAGGCGGUUUGCCAGAACGCGCUCGACGGUGAGGGAUGAAAGCUGGGGGGAGCAAACCGG
rnacentral:rRNA from 1 species